AAAGAGGCAAACCCUGGGUUUCCGUGUCCAAUUUUAACUGUCCGUCUUAUAUGAAAUUUUUUUAUAAUUCGUAUUUUCAUUGUUGUUGGAUGAUAAAACAUGAUUAAUAUUUUAUGCGUGACUUGUCUUUUUAAUUUUUUUUAUAAUUUUUUUAAAUAAGACGGACGGUCAAACGUUGGACACGAAAACU
rfam:Oryza glaberrima chromosome 2 Oglab02_0318_5, whole genome shotgun sequence.